UACGUAGGGUGCGAGCGUUGUCCGGAAUUAUUGGGCGUAAAGGGCUCGUAGGCGGUUUGUCGCGUCGGGAGUGAAAACACUGGGCUUAACUCAGUGCUUGCUUCCGAUACGGGCAGACUAGAGGUAUGCAGGGGAGAACGGAAUUCCUGGUGUAGCGUGAAAUGCGCAGAUAUCAGGAGGAACACCGGUGGCGAAGGCGGCGUCACUG
rnacentral:rRNA from 1 species